CUUGCCAAGCUUCUGGGCUCCUGCUUUCCUUAGCCCUGAAGGUGUUUGCUCCUCUCCCCCUGAGUUGGGGCCUUGGAGCUGUGCUGAGGAAGCCACAUGGAGCUGUGGGGUGAGCCUGCAAAUAGAGGCCAGCAAUGGAUCAGAGCUUCUUCUAGAGGAGCUGGAGAUGAAGAUAAUGAAAGGUUUUGGUCAGACCUUCUUUAAAGCUCAUCCAAAAACAAGAGGCCUUUUCUUCACUUUAUUCAGCAUCACCACGACUCGGUUGCCAAGGCACCCACCUGCCUUUGACUGCUGCGGUUUGGCUCCAACCAGUGAUGCCUGAGCCCUCCUGACAGAGUCCCUGUGCUGAGCCCACAGCUGAGUAACGUGGUGAACCCAACAUUGGCAUCCCCUGUGAUGGAGUCCCAGCUCUACCAUCAAGCCUUGAAAAGCUCUUUGCUGAGCCCAGCAUUCAAGCUUGAUUUAUCAUGGGGAAAAAAAUGGAAAAGAGUGGUACAAAAUGUUUUUUUUGUCAGCAAAUAUGCCUACGUGGUUCUCCUGCUGUAAUCACUGCUGCUCUAUAUGCUGAGCUGGAAGAACUGGUCAAGAAGUCCCUGGAAAAAGGAUGAUGUGGUGCUGGGACUGGCUGGGAGCAAAGCUGAGGUGGUUUUUGUCUGUUCUGCUGGUUUUCUACUCCAGCUUCACUGGCUGAUGUAUAUCCAGCUGAAAUGCACUGGAUUUUCUAACAAAAUCAUUGGUAGCUUCAAAACCCACCACCCUGAGUAGACGAAAUCUGUACCCUCUGAGGCAGCUCCCAUACGUGCACUGCAGCUGAGGCUGCCAACAUUCACAAAUGCCUCCAAAUCCAAUCUGAUCAAUGGAAGAAGGUGCUUCUCCUUUUCUGUUUUUCCAUCAGAAAAGAAACAUCUCCUAAACUGCAUGGCACACAGAGGGAGAGGAGCGGUGAGAAGUGAGCUGGGUAGGGAGCAGACAAUGCAUCACGAUGCCUUUAAGUCGCUGGAUGAAGUUCAUUUCUCCUUGUCUGUACAAGGCUGGACUCUGCAUUUUCAUGGUAAAUUUGUUUACCGAGCCGUUGUUGAAAUUCUGGAAGCAGAGAAAAUGCAUUUGCUCCAUAACCUUUCCGGAUCUGACAAGUCCUAUAAAAUCUAUUAAAGCCUUUAAUGAAAUCCCCGCUCAGAGCCAGCUCCCAUGAAUGAAUGUGGAAUCGGAAUUUAAAUUAAAAUGUUGUUUUUGUAGUCUGUGGGUUUUAGCCUUGACAGAAAUUAAAGGGACAGUUCACAUUUGGAGGUUUUGUAGCUCUCUCCCUUUACUUUUGUACUGCCUCUUCCAGCAGAGGAUGGCUGUUAGAGCCUCUCCUCCUCAAUCUGAGUGUGUGACUCUGCUGCAAGCACAAACCCAGGUAUUCUGCAUAAUUUCAAUUAGAAAAAGCAAAAUUGGCUAAUGGGCAGCACCGUAUUUUAAAUGAGCUGUGGGUCUCUUGUUUGCAGACAUAAUGCUGUGCUCUGUCUCCUCUAGAGGUGCACAAGGCUGCCCUCAGUGUGGAGGUGACUGCAGUGAUGGUCACCAGCAGCCUCAUCCCUGUCCCUCUACCAUUGGCCCUAUGGAGAUACUUGCAAGCAAUCCUCCGUGAGGAGCCUGAUGCAAAUCCCUUGGAUGUGCUUG